UACGUAGGGGGCAAGCGUUGUCCGGAAUCAUUGGGCGUAAAGAGCGCGUAGGCGGUCCGGUAAGUCCGCUCUGAAAGCCCGGGGCUCAACCCCGGGAGGCGGGCGGAUACUGUCGGGCUAGAGUCCGGAAGAGGCGAGUGGAAUUCCUGGUGUAGCGGUGAAAUGCGCAGAUAUCAGGAGGAACACCGAUGGCGAAGGCAGCUCGCUGGGACGGUACUGACGCCUGAGGCGCGAAAGCGUGGGGAGCAAACAGGG
rnacentral:rRNA from 1 species